AGAAUGGAAAACUCCUUUUCCACUGUACAUACUACCCCGGCCGAGGAUUUACGAACUCAGUCUCAUAAAUCAUAUAUGAUCUCUCUUAACCUAUCAAGAUCGAUAGAUUCCAUCUAGAUGCACCCCUACUCCUACAAUGAACCUACUGCAGCCAAUCUGCACCACAAGAACCCAAUUGGCUAGGGCUCAUGUUUAUGUGCUCGUCAAACUACAGCAACCUCACUGUGAAUAGCCGAGGCAUCGCUGGUCAAAGGACCAGUCAUACAACUGCAGCAUCAAGUGAGUCACUGACGAGUGGAUAGACAUCCAAGUGACUACUUGCUAUGGUCACGCUCAGUACCCUUGUUCUCUAACAAGCACUUGCACAAUUGCUCCAGUGUCGCCACACUGUGGACUCAAGACUCGUCCAUCAAAAAAAGCGAUCUGUGCACUAAUCUCAGCGGAUCGAUCACCGUCCUCGUGAUGAUCCAUCGAUCAGGAGCAAUUCAAAAAUUAAUCACCAAUGACACAUGCCUCAAAUUCUCAACUCUUGAGAAUAUGCAUCAUUAUCUUAUUAAUUUCUUGGACGAUUCACGGACACAUAAGAACAUGAAUGAAAAGAAUGCCCAACUUAAUAAAUUCAUAAUUAGGUCAAGUACAAAUUUAUGUCCCAGAAUAAAAUAAUGCGUCAGCCAAAUUGGCUUCUAGGGCAUACUUCUAACAG
rnacentral:lncRNA from 1 species